UACGGGGGGGGCAAGCGUUGUUCGGAAUUACUGGGCGUAAAGGGCGCGUAGGCGGCCUUCUAAGUCGGACGUGAAAUCCCUCGGCUUAACCGAGGAACUGCGUCCGAUACUGAAAGGCUUGAAUCCGGGAGAGGGAUGCGGAAUUCCAGGUGUAGCGGUGAAAUGCGUAGAUAUCUGGAGGAACACCGGUGGCGAAGGCGGCAUCCUGGACCGGUAUUGACGCUGAGGCGCGAAAGCCAGGGGAGCAAACGGG
rnacentral:rRNA from 1 species